rnacentral:lncRNA from 1 species
CCUGUUUGCUUCUUUCCCUUCUACCUCAUAAAAAGCUCACCUUACCCUCCUCUUUGACUCCUGGGUCUUUGUAGAACUGGCUGGUUGAUCCACCAUUUUUCGGCCUUGGCUCCUCCUCGUCGGUUUCAGAUGUUGUCAGCUCCCUGAGUCUCAGCCAUGCUCUCCACCACCAAACCUGGCCAAAGGGGUUCCCUGGACCUUUGGCUCCUGGCAUUUAUCCUCAAGUAUGGCAGGGCUACUCGAGGUCUGCUGGUUCUUAGCAGCAUUCUUCAUAUGCCCCCUAAGGAAGCAAAAACAUGCCUAGAUGACCUCACACACAAGAGAGCCUGUGUUGAUGCAAGAGAUCUAUCUUGAGCCCUCUUUUUUCUAAAAAAAAGAUUUUAUUUAUUUACUUAUUAAUUUUAAUUUUUAUUGUGUUAUGUUAGUCACCAUAAAAUGCAUCAUUGGUUUUUGAUGCAGUGUUCCAAGAUUCUUUUUUUUUUUUUUAAGAUUUAUUUAUUUAUUUUGGAGAGAGAGACAGAGUGCAGGAGGGAGGGGCAAAGGGAGAAGGAGAGAGAAUCUCAAGCUGACUCCCCACCAAGCACAGAGCCCGAAAAAGCGCUUGCUCACAUGACCUGGAGAUCAUGACCUGAGCCGAAAUCAAGAGUCCGAGGGAUAACCGACUGAGCCGCCCAGGUGCCCCUCCUUUGUGUGAGAUCUGCUCUUCCUCAAAUUUCAGCUGCAUUAGAUUCCCCUGGAAGACUUACAAACCACAAAUGUCUGAAAAAAAAAUCACAAAUGUCUGCCAUCACCCCCCACCCCAUCCCCGUUCGUUCUCUCCCUCUCCCUCAGCCCUCACUCAGUAGAUCUAACAGGUUUCCACAUGAUCGUAAUGCUUCUGAUCCCAGCACUUUAUGAACUGUUCACCUAAACCAGUACUCCUCCAAGCUAUUCCUGUGAAUGUCCCCUACUUAUCCACGGUUUUGGCAUCCGCAGUUUCGAGAGUCAGUCUCCAGAAACAGGUGAUUCUCCUUCUGACGAAUCAGCAGAAGGUCAGUCCCCGCGUCUCGCUGCCUGCGUCGUUCCCUCUCUUCAUCUCCUCACGUAGGCGUUGGAGCGUCUCACCUCGUCUCAAGAAGAAUGUGUAA